rnacentral:rRNA from 1 species
UACGGGGGGGGCAAGCGUUGUUCGGAAUUACUGGGCGUAAAGGGCUCGUAGGCGGCCAUCUAAGUCAGACGUGAAAUCCCUCGGCUUAACCGGGGAACUGCGUCUGAUACUGGAUGGCUAGAGUUUGGGAGAGGUAUGCGGAAUUCCAGGUGUAGCGGUGAAAUGCGUAGAUAUCUGGAGGAACACCGGUGGCGAAAGCGGCAUCCUGGACCAACACUGACGCUGAGGAGCGAAAGCCAGGGGAGCAAACGGG